ACGACUCAAAUUGUUUGCCCCAAUUUCGGGCAAAUCAUCCCUCUCACACACUCAGUCCUCACAUUCUCAAAUCUCUCUAUCACAACCCAUCUGUUCUGACCAAAUUUCUUCAUCCUCCUCUCGAGUGUCUUGCAAAGAAGAGCAAAUCGUGUCAGAGCAAAUAUAAUAUCAUUGUUCUCGUCUUUCGUAUGCUAACCUUCUUAUCUGAUUUGUUAGCUAACCUUCUUGUUUGAUUUGUUAGCUUGCCUGGACUUUCACCAUGAGGAGUCUGCUUUCUAUAUUUUAGAUCUCCAUUGAGCCGACUCAAACAGCGAUCACUUGAAUAAUUGAAUUUCAGUUUCGAUCCAUUUUACAAUGCAUUUUACUUGGAAUUUCAGUUGGUUUUGUGGCAUUGUUGGAUCUAUGGAUGUGUACAUGUAUUGGUACCCCCAAAGCCAAAACUAUCUUGAACAGUAUCAUUACCUUCCAAUCUGAGUUGACGGUGAAAGCUCCGCCAUAUCAAGCGUCGUCGAUGGUCAGGAGGUCACGAAGAGUACAGAGUUUGCAAAUGAGAUGUAUAUGCCGCCAUGGAUGAAAGAGAGUGUGUUGGAACUGAAUAUGUGAGGAGUGAUUGGGGGCAAACAGUUUGAGCCGUACGAUUAAUUUUUUUUAAAUCCAAUGGUUCUUAAUUAGUCCGGUACUUUUAGUACUGGACGAUCCCCUGAUCCAUUUUGAAGAGGUUGAUUCCAUUAUUUGAAGCUAGAAACACGAGAAUAACUUUUUUC